UACGUAGGGUGCAAGCGUUUGUCCGGAAUUAUUGGGCGUAAAGGGCUCGUAGGCGGUUUGUCGCGUCGGGAGUGAAAUCCACUGGCUUAACUGGUGGCUUGCUUUCGAUACGGGCAGACUGGAGGUAUGCAGGGGGAGAACGGAAUUCCUGGUGUAGCGGUGAAAUGCGCAGAUAUCAGGAGGAACACCGGUGGCGAAGGCGGAUCUCUGGGCCAUUACUGACGCUGAGGAGCGAAAGCGUGGGGAGCGAACAGG
rnacentral:rRNA from 1 species